rnacentral:rRNA from 1 species
UAAUACGAAGGGGGCUAGCGUUGUCCGGAAUUACUGGGCGUAAAGCGCGCGUAGGCGGCUACGCAAGUCGGGCGUGAAAGCCCAGGGCUCAACCCUGGAAAUGCGCCCGAGACUGCGUGGCUUGAGACCGGGAGAGGAGAGUGGAAUUCCCAGUGUAGAGGUGAAAUUCGUAGAUAUUGGGAAGAACACCGGUGGCGAAGGCGGCUCUCUGGUCCGGUUCUGACGCUGAGGCGCGAAAGCGUGGGGAGCAAACAGGAUUAGAUACCCUGGUAGUCCACGCCGUAAACGAUGAGUGCCAGACGUCGGGGGGCUCGCCCUUCGGUGUCGACGCUAACGCAUUAAGCACUCCGCCUGGGGAGUACGGCCGCAAGGUUA